UGUCACAGAGAAGUCAGACUGAUAUCACAUGCAUUAGCCAUAGUCAACUGAGUAUAUUCCAAUAUAAUUUGUAUCAGCAGUGUUACCAGCUUCUGUGAAAGACUGGACUUUUAUAGCUAUGGAAGCACUUGGAUGUAGUAUUAGGACGGGGGAACAUCUCUGUCACCACUGGAAUCAAAACAUGCUUAACAACCUUGCUGUAGUUCAGUAGUCUCUGCUUUAUACAACUCAUUUUGUGCCAAACAGAAGUCUAGCAAAGUAUCACAGUGAUCAGAGCUGAUGACUGAGGUGAAUGGUACUAUUGUCACGAUUGGAAUUAUGCAUAGUGUCCCGGAUUGAGUUGGACGUGGACCCAAUUUGGUCCAGUUUAAUCUGUAUCCCAUUCUAUCUGAACCAGAAUUUAUAUCAAGAUUUGAAAAUCCAACUUAUCAGUCCUUCCUAAAGUCAGAAAAACAGAAAUAAUUAUGAGUGACAUUCAGCAUUGCACUUAUGGAUUUAUGACCGGAGGUAUGGAUCCAUAACUACUCUGUAUUCAGUAACACUACAUAAGAAAAAUGGAUGGUCCUGCCAAACUGAGGAAGAAAGUUACACCAGAUGGUUGUUUUAUCACUGACAAAUCUGCUAUCAAUGCCACAGUCUAUCCUAUUGUAUUAUAAUAAAAUAUAUGCAACAAAGUA